rnacentral:rRNA from 1 species
AUUGAACGCUGGCGGCAUGCUUUACACAUGCAAGUCGAACGAUGAAGCCCACUUGUGGGUGGAUUAGUGGCGAACGGGUGAGUAACACGUGAGUAACCUGCCCUUGACUCUGGGAUAAGCCUGGGAAACUGGGUCUAAUACCGGAUAUGACCUUCCAUCGCAUGGUGGUUGGUGGAAAGCUUUUGUGGUUUUGGAUGGACUCGCGGCCUAUCAGCUUGUUGGUGGGGUAAUGGCCUACCAAGGCGACGACGGGUAGCCGGCCUGAGAGGGUGGCCGGCCACACUGGGACUGAGACACGGCCCAGACUCCUAGGGGAGGCAGGAGUGGGGAAUAUUGCACAAUGGGCGCAAGCCUGAUGCAGCGACGCCGCGUGAGGGAUGACGGCCUUCGGGUUGUAAACCUCUUUCAGUAGGGAAGAAGCGUAAGUGACGGUACCUGCAGAAGAAGCGCCGGCUAACUACGUGCCAGCAGCCGCGGUAAGAC